AAAAAAGCUGUGAAGGUGCAUAGUAGUAUUGCAGACAGGCACAGAGAGGGGGAGAUAUGCUGGAAAUCCCCUGCCCCGGUCUGUAUAUACGAAAUUCACACCGAAGCUCCGAAGCUGAACCGUUGUAGCAGUAGGCUCCGGCGUAUUAUACACGUUAAGUAUUUAAGUGUCGUUUUAUGUAGGCUGAUAUACCGUUUAUAAACUGUAUAUAUAAAAAUAUAUAAGUUUGCGGAAGCUGUCGGCAGGUAAUACGGAAGCCGGGUGGUACCGCGGGUUAAUUCUCGUCCCAGUU
rnacentral:ncRNA from 1 species